rnacentral:rRNA from 1 species
UACGUAGGGUCCAAGCGUUAUCCGGAAUCACUGGGCGUAAAGCGUGCGUAGGUGGCGUGUUAAGUGUGAUGUUAAAUCGCGGGGCUCAACCCUGUCGAUGUGUCGCAUACUGGCAUGCUAGAGGACAGCAGAGGCAAGUGGAAUUGGUAGUGUAGCAGUGAAAUGCGUAGAUAUUACCAGGAACACCAAUGGCGAAGGCAGCUUGCUGGGCUACUCCUGACACUGAGGUACGAAAGCGUGGGGAGCGAACAGG